GGAAUUUCCAGGAGAUCUUUCAGCAGCACAAGGCUUGGAAGCUAGAAAGAAUGCCAAGAAAGAGUCAGCUGUUUAGAAGCAAGAAAAUCUGUGCCCCUUAAUUGUGGAAACACAAGUUCAAAUCCCAGCUCUCCUGCUUGCCAGGUGAAGAGAAAAGAAUUUCCAAGUGAGGCCAAUUAA
rnacentral:lncRNA from 1 species